CAGUCGCCGCGGUAAUACGUAGGGUGCAAGCGUUAAUCGGAAUUACUGGGCGUAAAGCGUGCGCAGGCGGUUAUAUAAGACAGAUGUGAAAUCCCCGGGCUCAACCUGGGAACUGCAUUUGUGACUGUAUAGCUAGAGUACGGCAGAGGGGGAUGGAAUUCCGCGUGUAGCAGUGAAAUGCGUAGAUAUGCGGAGGAACACCGAUGGCGAAGGCAAUCCCCUUGGCCUGUACUGACGCUCAUGCACGAAAGCGUGGGGAGCAAACAGGAUUAGAUACCCGAGUAGUCCCUGUCUCUUAUAA
rnacentral:rRNA from 1 species